rnacentral:rRNA from 1 species
UGGUGGAGUGAUUUGUCUGGUUAAUUCCGAUAACGAGCGAGACCUCAGCUUACUAAUUAGUUGUGCUCAUCUUCGGAUGGGUAGGACUUCUUAGAGGGACUAUUGGCGAGUAGCCAAUGGAAGUUUGAGGCAAUAACA